rnacentral:rRNA from 1 species
AUUGAACGCUGGCGGCGUGCUUAACACAUGCAAGUCGUGCGGUAACAGGCGUAGCAAUACGUGCUGACGAGCGGCGAACGGGUGCGUAAUACAUGGGAAUCUGCCCUUUAGUGGGGAAUAACCCGGCGAAAGCCGGGCUAAUGCCGCAUAAGAUCUUCGGAUGAAAGCGGGGAUCGUAAGACCUCGCGCUGAUGGAUGAGCCCACUGUCGGAUUAGCAGUUGGUGAGGUAACGGCUCACCAAGGCGACGAUCCGUAGCUGGUCUGAGAGGACGGCCAGCCACACUGGGACUGAGACACGGCCCAGACUCCUACGGGAGGCAGCAGUGGGGAAUAUUGGACAAUGGGGAAACCCUGAUCCAGCGACGCCGCGUGUGUGAAGAAGGCCUGCGGGUUGUAAAGC